AUUGAACGCUGGCGGCAGGCCUAACACAUGCAAGUCGAGCGGCAGCGGGAAAGUAGCUUGCUACUUUUGCCGGCGAGCGGCGGACGGGUGAGUAAUGCCUGGGAAAUUGCCCAGUCGAGGGGGAUAACAGUUGGAAACGACUGCUAAUACCGCAUACGCCCUACGGGGGAAAGCAGGGGACCUUCGGGCCUUGCGCGAUUGGAUAUGCCCAGGUGGGAUUAGCUAGUUGGUGAGGUAAUGGCUCACCAAGGCGACGAUCCCUAGCUGGUCUGAGAGGAUGAUCGGCCACACUGGAACUGAGACACGGUCCAGACUCCUACGGGAGGCAGCAGUGGGAAAUAUUGCACAAUGGGGGAAACCCUGAUGCAGCCAUGCCGCGUGUGUGAAGAAGGCCUUCGGGUUGUAAAGCACUUUCAGCGAGGAGGAAAGGUUGAUGCCUAAUACGUGUCAACUGUGACGUUACUCGCAGAAGAAGCACCGGCUAACUCCGUGCCAGCCGCCGCGGUAACAC
rnacentral:rRNA from 1 species